rnacentral:rRNA from 1 species
GACGAACGCUGGCGGCGUGCCUAAUACAUGCAAGUUGAGCGCUGAAGGUUGGUACUUGUACCAACUGGAUGAGCAGCGAACGGGUGAGUAACGCGUGGGGAAUCUGCCUUUGAGCGGGGGACAACAUUUGGAAACGAAUGCUAAUACCGCAUAAAAACUUUAAACACAAGUUUUAAGUUUGAAAGAUGCAAUUGCAUCACUCAAAGAUGAUCCCGCGUUGUAUUAGCUAGUUGGUGAGGUAAAGGCGCACCAAGGCGAAGAUAGAUAGCCGACCUUAGAGGGUGAUCGGCCAGUUUGAGACUGGGACACGGCCCAAACUACUACGAGAGGCAGCAGAAGGGAAUCUUCGGCAAUGGACGAAAGUCUGACCGAGCAACGCAGCGAGAGUGAAGAAGGUUGUCGGAUCGUAAAACUCCGUUGGUAGAGAAGAACGUUGGUGAGACUGGAAAGCACAUAAAGUGACGGUAACUACCCAGAAAGGAACGGCUAACUACGUG